rnacentral:snRNA from 1 species
ACUGCAAAAAUGUAUAUAU